UGAGGAAUAUUGGUCAAUGGACGAGAGUCUGAACCAGCCAAGUCGCGUGAAGGAUGAAGGUCCUAUGGAUUGUAAACUUCUUUUAUACGGGAAUAAAAAGGGUUACGUGUAGCCCAUUGCAUGUACCGUAUGAAUAAGGAUCGGCUAACUCCGUGCCAGCAGCCGCGGUAAUACGGAGGAUCCGAGCGUUAUCCGGAUUUAUUGGGUUUAAAGGGUGCGCAGGCGGUCUCUUAAGUCAGCGUUGAAAGUUUGCGGCUCAACCGUAAAAUUGGCAUUGAAACUGGGAGACUUGAGUGUAAAUGAAGUAGGCGGAAUUCGUUGUGUAGCGGUGAAAUGCAUAGAUAUAACGAAGAACUCCGAUUGCGAAGGCAGCUUGCUAACAUACAACUGACGCUCAUGCACGAAAGCGUGGGGAUCAAACA
rnacentral:rRNA from 1 species